GCUGUGUUGGCUCUGUGGGGUUUGUGGGUGUCAAGACCUGCAGGACAAGUCAGCUGAAUGCGUGCUGAGGUGUCCUGUCAUACAGCAGUGCAUGCAACCAAGGCCUCUGUGGUGAGGACAUCGUUCUGCUCAGUCAAGCUGCUGCAUCAACAGGCUGCCAGCCUGCAGCGUGCUGCGUGAGGAUCGUGGAAGACAAGCUGACGAUUUAAUGGGGCGUGAUGCGCGAAUACGAGCGUCUGCGUGGCUGCGUUUAAUCCAUUAAAGGAGAGAAAAGAAACGGUGGUUAUCAGCAUUCACGAGGCAAGGCUUGGGCUUAGUGCAUGCAAAGCCUUGGAGGGAGACCGGAGGAGUGCUCCCACUGCUGCAGAAAGCUUCUGACAGGCGCAGCAUCGCUGGAAGUACGGCUGUGAUUGUGAGAGCUGCCUUUGUUCGUUCCUUGGAGCCUCCAGCGAGGGAUGAUGGGCACACGGCGGCAUGGAUGCUGAAAGCCAUCUCCCUGAGCUAGUGUGGGAAAAGAGUGCAUGGAGCUGAUGGUUAUUUUUCAGUCCAGGUGUGUAUCAGAUAGCUUUUCCGAUCAGGAAGAACAGACUUCGGGUUCCUGAGUGAGCCUCCUCUUGUGGAGUCGGGUUUGCUCUUAGCAGAGGGUUAUCCUUUUGAAACAGGACUGCUUUGAGGCUGACUCCAACAGAGGAGUUCUUGUUCAAUUUCAGGCUGGGGAUGGUGGAGGGGGCUGGCGGGGAGCUAAUAAUGAUGUAAUUCAACCAUCACCAAGCUGAGAAGGGGCAGAGAAGACUGAAGUGCUGCUUUAGGAGUUAAUUACACGGUGUUUCCAGGCUGUGUGGUGUCCUGAUUCCUGCUUAAUCCGCCUGUAUUUAGGAUGCUGAGUUCGUGACAACCCAUUGCUAUUUAAAGAAAGUUUUGGCCACGUUACGAAAUGCCAUCCAAAACCUUCCAGCCUCGGUGGCGCUGCGCCUGGUUGGGAAAUAUUACAAAAGUAAUAAAGGAGAUGGAAAAACCUCCA
rnacentral:lncRNA from 1 species